GCAAGCACUCCGCCCACGUUCACCGACGAGGAGGAGACGAGGACACACAGUAUCCUAAAAACCCGUCAUCGCUGAACUGACUGAGCGGGCAGGAGGGCCAGAAGUCAGCUGAGAGACGAAGCCAAGAAGCAGACGCAGAAAGGACGGGACGCAGAGAAGAGCGACUGACACCGUCCAGAGUGUCGUCCCUGUGUCCGGCACGGGAGUAGCUUCUGUAACUCCAUGCUCUCAUGUAAUACUUCUGAGAAAGGAUCGCCGGUAUUGGGGGUGAAGGAACGGAGAGCCACAGUAACAGGUCACCUGGACAUCUACAGGGUAUCUCUGAGCAUCCUUGAUCCAGUGUCAAGAUCACUCUGUUGGGAAAGAGAAGGAACAAACACCAGAUAACACUGGUAACUGACAGUGCACUGAGGAUAUUGUGGGAAUUGCAGAGAAAAGUCUUUUUCUUUUCUGGGACGUGAGGG